CCUACGGGUGGCAGCAGUGAGGAAUAUUGGUCAAUGGGCGCGAGCCUGAACCAGCCAAGUAGCGUGAAGGAUGACUGCCCUACGGGUUGUAAACUUCUUUUAUAAAGGAAUAAAGUGAGGCACGUGUGCCUUUUUGUAUGUACUUUAUGAAUAAGGAUCGGCUAACUCCGUGCCAGCAGCCGCGGUAAUACGGAGGAUCCGAGCGUUAUCCGGAUUUAUUGGGUUUAAAGGGAGCGUAGGCGGGUUGUUAAGUCAGUUGUGAAAGUUUGCGGCUCAACCGUAAAAUUGCAGUUGAUACUGGCAGCUUUGAGUACAGUAGAGGUAGGCGGAAUUCGUGGUGUAGCGGUGAAAUGCUUAGAUAUCACGAAGAACUCCGAUUGCGAAGGCAGCCUGCCGGACUGUAACUGACGCUGAUGCUCGAAAGUGUGGGUAUCAAACAGGAUUAGAUACCCGGGUAGUC
rnacentral:rRNA from 1 species